AUUCAGCUGAUGAGUCCCAAAUGGGACAAAACGCACGUCAAACUGGAU
rfam:Schistosoma haematobium scaffold1000_7, whole genome shotgun sequence.